CCUACGGGAGGCAGCAGUAGGGAAUCUUCCACAAUGGGCGAAAGCCUGAUGGAGCAACGCCGCGUGAGUGAUGAAGGCCUUCGGGUUGUAAAACUCUGUCAUUCGGGACGAACCGGAGUCUGAGGAAAUGCAGACUCUCUGACGGUACCGGAGGAGGAAGCCCCGGCUAACUACGUGCCAGCAGCCGCGGUAAUACGUAGGGGGCAAGCGUUGUCCGGAUUCACUGGGCGUAAAGCGCGCGCAGGCGGUGAUGUAAGUCUGAGGUGAAAACCCGAAGCUCAACUUCGGGACUGCCUUGGAUACUGCGUCACUUGAGGAUAGGAGAGGCAAGGGGAAUUCCACGUGUAGCGGUGAAAUGCGUAGAGAUGUGGAGGAACACCUGUGGCGAAGGCGCCUUGCUGGCCUAUUUCUGACGCUGAGGCGCGAAAGCGUGGGGAGCAAACAGGAUUAGAUACCCUGGUAGUCCACGCUGUAAACGAUGAGUGCUAGGUGUAGGUGGGCUCAUACCCAUCUGUGCCGAAGCUAACGCAUUAAGCNCNCCGCCGNGGGAGGUACGGUCGCGAGACGUAGAACGUACGAAGGAAGUUAGUACGGACGUUGGAGACGUUGCCGACGGACGACACGAGGGGAGGUUAGGG
rnacentral:rRNA from 1 species